rnacentral:rRNA from 1 species
UACGUAGGGGGCAAGCGUUGUCCGGAUUUAUUGGGCGUAAAGAGCGUGUAGGCGGCUUGGUAGGUCCGCUGUGAAAACUCGAGGCUCAACCUCGAGAUGUCGGCGGAAACCACUUGGCUAGAGUCCGGAAGAGGAGAGUGGAAUUCCUGGUGUAGCGGUGAAAUGCGCAGAUAUCAGGAGGAACACCAAUUGCGAAGGCAGCUCGCUGGGACGUAACUGACGCUGAGACGCGAAAGCGUGGGGAGCAAACAGG